GAAACUUCCCUGCUUCCUUAUUUAGGACCAAGAGUAACAAGAGUAACUAAAGCUGUAUACCUGCACAAGUGGUGGCUGCCAUUGAUGUCAACACUGUCGCUAAUGAAGUAUACAAGUAUAAUUUUCCUCACACACAGUUACUUGCCAAGACGAUUGAAUUACAUACUGUAGAGUAAAUGAUAGCUACCGAAGACAGAGUGAUCCGUGAUAAAUAUCAUUAAUGCCUCUGAAGAGGAGAAUGACUCCAGUGGAACAAAAACUCUUAAUAAAAAUAGAUAAAAAUUUUUCUAGAAUGAAAUUUACAAUAUAACAUCCAUGAGCCCUUCUGGAACAGAUGACUGCAUCACUUAAUCUAGCUGAGCA
rnacentral:lncRNA from 10 species